rnacentral:rRNA from 1 species
CGGUACCUAAUCAGAAAGCCACGGCUAACUACGUGCCAGCAGCCGCGGUAAUACGUAGGUGGCAAGCGUUAUCCGGAAUUAUUGGGCGUAAAGCGCGCGUAGGCGGUUUUUUAAGUCUGAUGUGAAAGCCCACGGCUCAACCGUGGAGGGUCAUUGGAAACUGGAAAACUUGAGUGCAGAAGAGGAAAGUGGAAUUCCAUGUGUAGCGGUGAAAUGCGCAGAGAUAUGGAGGAACACCAGUGGCGAAGGCGACUUUCUGGUCUGUAACUGACGCUGAUGUGCGAAAGCGUGGGGAUCAAACAGGAUUAGAUACC